AGUGAACGCUGGCGGUAGGCCUAACACAUGCAAGUCGAACGGCAGCACAGUAAGAGCUUGCUCUUACGGGUGGCGAGUGGCGGACGGGUGAGGAAUACAUCGGAAUCUACUUUUUCGUGGGGGAUAACGUAGGGAAACUUACGCUAAUACCGCAUACGACCUACGGGUGAAAGCAGGGGAUCUUCGGACCUUGCGCGAUUGAAUGAGCCGAUGUCGGAUUAGCUAGUUGGCGGGGUAAAGGCCCACCAAGGCGACGAUCCGUAGCUGGUCUGAGAGGAUGAUCAGCCACACUGGAACUGAGACACGGUCCAGACUCCUACGGGAUGCAGCAGUGGGGAAUAUUGGACAAUGGGCGCAAGCCUGAUCCAGCCAUACCGCGUGGGUGAAGAAGGCCUUCGGGUUGUAAAGCCCUUUUGUUGGGAAAGAAAAGCAGCAGGUUAAUACCCCGCUGUUCUGACGGUACCCAAAGAAUAAGCACCGGCUAACUUCGUG
rnacentral:rRNA from 1 species